rnacentral:hammerhead_ribozyme from 1 species
AUCCAGAUGACGAGUCCAAAAUGGGAUGAAAUGCGUGGUGUCCUGGAU